UAGCUCAGACGGUAAAGCAUCUGCCUACAAUGCAGGAGAUCCGGGUUCAAUCCCUGG
rnacentral:tRNA from 1 species